UACAGAGGGGGCAAGCGUUGUUCGGAAUUACUGGGCGUAAAGGGCGCGUAGGCGGCCUGUUAAGUCGAACGUGAAAUCCCCGGGCUCAACCUGGGAACUGCGUCCGAUACUGGCAGGCUUGAAUCCGGGAGAGGGAUGUGGAAUUCCAGGUGUAGCGGUGAAAUGCGUAGAUAUCUGGAGGAACACCGGUGGCGAAGGCGGCGAUCCUGGACCGGUAUUGACGCUGAGGCGCGAAAGCUAGGGGAGCAAACGGG
rnacentral:rRNA from 1 species